AUUAACCAAUAGGCGAAAAAUGU
rnacentral:snRNA from 1 species